CAAUAGCGUAUAUUAAAGUUGUUGCGGUUAAAAGCUCGUAGUUGGAUUUCUGUCGAGGGGCGAUCGGUCCGCACUAUGUGCGUGUAUCUGUUAUCUCUUGGCAUCCUCUUGGGGAACGUUUCUGCGCUUGAUUGCGUGGGGCGGAAUUCAAGACUUUUACUUUGAGGAAAUUAGAGUGUUCACGGCAAGCAAUCGCUUUGAAUACAUUAGCAUGGAAUAAUAAUAUAGGGCGUAAGCUUUAUUUUGUUGGUUUCUAGAGCAUACGCAAUGAUUAAUAGGGAUAAUUGGGGGCAUUCGUAUUGAUGCGUCAGAGGUGGAAUUCUUAGAUUGCAUCACGACGAACUACUGCGAAAGCAUUUGCCAAGGAUGUUUUCAUUGAUCAAGAACGAAAGUAUGGGGAUCGAAGACGAUUAGAUACCG
rnacentral:rRNA from 1 species